rnacentral:rRNA from 1 species
UACGGAGGAUGCGAGCGUUAUCCGGAUUUAUUGGGUUUAAAGGGUGCUCAGGCGGUUUUAUAAGUCAGUGGUGAAACCCAACAGCUUAACUGUUGGCCUGCCAUUGAUACUGUAAGGCUAGCAUACAAGUGGCGUAGCCGGAAUGUGUUGUGUAGCGGUGAAAUGCUUAGAUAUGACACAGAACACCGAUCGUGAAGACAAGUUACGAACUUGGGAUGGACGCUAAAGCACGAAAGCGUGGGGAUCGAAC